GGGUUGUGAGGUUAAGCGACCAAGCGUACACGGUGGAUGCCCUGGCAGUCAGAGGCGAUGAAGGGCGUGCUAAUCUGCGAUAAGCGCCGGUAAGGUGAUAUGAACCGUUAUAACCGGCGAUACCCGAAUGGGGAAACCCAGUGUGACUUGUCACACUAUCAUUAACUGAAUCCAUAGGUUAAUGAGGCGAACCGGGGGAACUGAAACAUCUAAGUACCCCGAGGAAAAGAAAUCAACCGAGAUUCCCCCAGUAGCGGCGAGCGAACGGGGAGGAGCCCAGAGCCUGAAUCAGCAUGUGUGUUAGUGGAAGCGUCCGGAAAGGCGCGCGAUACAGGGUGACAGCCCCGUACACAAAAGCGCAUGUGCUGUGAGCUCGAUGAGUAGGGCGGGACACGUGGUAUCCUGUCUGAAUAUGGGGGGACCAUCCUCCAAGGCUAAAUACUCCUGACUGACCGAUAGUGAACCAGUACCGUGAGGGAAAGGCGAAAAGAACCCCGGCGAGGGGAGUGAAAAAGAACCUGAAACCGUGUACGUACAAGCAGUGGGAGCACAGGUUUACCUGUGUGACUGCGUACCUUUUGUAU
rnacentral:rRNA from 1 species